CGGACGCAGCCCGGGCACCGGCGUUACCUCUUUCGCUUCCUGCCGCGUUUUGUGCCUCUCGGAGCUGUUCGUGCUGCGUAGCGAGGCUCCCUGGCUCUGCCCCUGCGGAACUCGCUCAGGGUCUCGUCUUCUACCUAUAAAAUGGGAACAUUAGCCCCAAGUGCAUAGGGUGGCCGCGAGAUUUAAAGUAGUUACAGCUGAAAACUGCCUGGCGGGUGGAAGAGAAGGUUGGCUUUGUGUGCGCGAGUGUAGGCUAAAGCAGGCUGGAAGUAUUUUGAAACAAAAUAUCCAACAAAUAACUCAUUGAGCCGCCUCCUGCUUGCCAGACUUUACAUUCUAGAAAGUUUGCCCUCUGGCUGGCCGUCAGGAUUCUUAUUUUCGAGACCCUGCCGUGUUUGUAACACGAACGUUAAAGCUGAACCAAAUCUCCAGCCGGUGCACCAAGCUGUCGCUUGUGAUUCUUAAAAAGGGGUCCAGGAUGGGUCACGCAGUUUUGUCUUAAUCGAAAAGGGCAUGCAUUUAAAUAUAGGCUGCCAAACUGCUCUCCAGAAUGUUAUUUUUUUUUUAAUAUUUUAAUGUUUUUAUUUAUUUUUGAGGCAGAGACAGAGCACGAGCAGGGGAGGGGCAGAGAGAGAGGGAGACACAGUCCGAAGCAGGCUCCGGGCUCUGCGCUGUCAACACAGACCCCGACGCGGGGCUCGAACUCACGGACUGUGAGAUCAUGACCUGAGCCGGAGUCGGCCGCUUAACCGACUGAGCCACCCAGCCGCCGCCAGAAUGUUAUUUAUAAUGGAUUCGUUGACAGUUGCCCUGCUGGCAGUGUCUUGAGCGCACCCGAAGGCCUGGUGUGGUCCUAGCUAAAGGGGUCUCGGCCUGCUAUGGUGGGGACUCAAGGUCAUACAUAUACAUGUCCAGGAGUUUCUCCUGAGCUGUGGGAAGACUCCCUGUAGGAGGUGGCAUUUGUGGAUGCAGGGUGACAGCGGAAUGCAAGCCAGGCAGAGCUUAGGGGAAAGCCUGGAGCAGGACAGAGCAGGGAGGUGGAAUGAACUGAGAGUAGAGUCCUGUGGGGACUCUUGAUGGGGGAGGGGAGAACCAAAGACUCUCCCGAUGGAGAGCCCCACUCUCUCCAUGUGUGUGUAUACAUACAACAUUUUUGCCUUUGAGACUCUUGAAAUCUGUUCAUCCCUCUCCCCCAAACUCACUGGUGCACAUCUACGAAAACUUUUACACACGGUAUCGCAGAGGUUUCCAUCUUUGGAAACAGCACCUUGCUCCUACCCUAAGGUAAGGUGGAAACUUGACCUUUUUUUAAGCACAAAGGAGGCAAGAGCCAGGGGUCAGAGGAGGAUAAGUUCUGCAAUCUGGUUUCUAGUCCUCUUUCUGUUACUUGGCUGUGUGACCUUUGAUAAGUCACGUAACUUCUUUUUCCCGAACCCUGGAAUCACAAAUGCUGUAAGAUGAAUACCUGGUCUACUUUCUUCUUUGGAACGGAGAAUCAAAUAAAGCGGCGGUCCUUAAAGUGUUUUUAGAAAUGUGCAUUUGGUAGAAACGCAGCAGCUCAGAUCCCAUCCCAGGUGGAUGGAAUCAGAAUCUCUGGGGUGGGGCCAAGCAGUCUGUUGGAAGCCUUCCAGGUGAUUCUGAUGUCUUAAGUUUGAGAACCACCGCUCUAAAGAGUUCCACAGUUUUGUUUACUGUGACUCACAGUAAUGAUGUUUUACAUCCCGAUUAAUACACACGUGUGCACCACACACUUCUAGAACAACAACAAAAAAAGGGUUAUGAAAAUCAAACGUUCAAUACAAUCUUACAUUUUCUGUACUACUUUUGUAUUUCCUUUUUGAAAAUACAGAAGAUGUUGAGGGAAAUUCUGGGGACGUGGGUAGAAUUUGAAUAUGGACAGUAGAUUAUAUGAUCCUAUCAGUGUUCAUUUUCUUAAUUUGGAAAUUGUACUGUGGCAGUGCGUGAUAAUGCUCUCUUAGGAAAGGCACACUGAAUUAUUUAGGGGUAAAGGUGCACGUUGUCUCUACACACACA